UUUUAUUUUGAUGGUACUUGGUCUGAUUUGUUGUCUGAAAUAUCAGUUGUUGAUAUGUAUUCGAUGCAUUUUGCGAGAUUAGAUUUUGUUUUUUCAUUAUAUUCAAUCUGUUGUUUUUCGUGUUUUAUGGGGAAUUGUUUAAUUUCUUUGGAUGGUUUCUAACUCGAGCUGAAGUUAAAACGUCUUUUCUGUUGUUUUAUAAGUAUCAAUGUCGAAUCUAGGAGUGACAAUUCAUUUUUUUCAUUUUGUCCACUAUAAAGAUAGUUUAGAUGUAGUUGUUCAGUUCGAUUGUUGUUGUGCCUCUAUAAUGAAAUAGCUUUUGGCUCUAUUUCUAUUAAUAUUAAUGAUAAUGCUUCGCUGAACCUUGUUUCGGCAAUGUUCCAUUUAGUGGUGGCAUUUUUCUGGAAAAUCUUCCUUCGGCAUUAGUUUUGGAAUAUUAGAUGAAAUCGGUAAAAAUAAGAUAUGGUUACCCUAUUAUUAUUUGUUUAUGAUUCUUGUUUUGGAUUUUUGACCAUGUGUUUUGUUUGCAAUUAGUAAAAAAUCAACUAGUAAACAAUCUAAUGCUAAUUAAAAAAUAAGUAAAAUGAAUUGGAAAUGUCUAUUUGACUAUGGAGCUAUUCUAUAACAACCAGUAGUUGUUAAGGUUUAGUCACGAUAAUACCCUUACAUAGGCCAUUCUAUAGCAAGUUAGUUUCAAGUGUUAACAAUUUCUUCUUGGUUGUUAAAAGUAGACUCAAAUUUAUAUCUAUGUUCUAUUGUUAUAUGAAAAUUACUUGUCAACACGUAAGUUUUAACAUAUUUAUUCGAUUUUAGAGUGCACGAUAUGAAUAAUUCUGACCGUGAGUGAAUGUAUGAUAGAUUGUUGGAAGAUGGAUUCAUAAAUCCUAGGUUUAUUGAUGGGGUUGAGAGCUUUGUUGAAUUUGCUAAAAGUCAUCCAGAAUGUAUGAACGGUGAAAAACUAAGAUAUCCUUGUAAUCAUCGUAAGUGUCGAAAUAAAAAUAUUUUGGAUGAGUUUACAGUUAUGACACAUCUUGGAAAUAAUGGCUUUGUACCGAAUUAUUAUCGUUGGCAUCAUCAUGGAGAAAGUUAUAUUCCAAGUCCAAUUAUGUUUGAUAAUCAUCAAGAAGAAGCUUCAGCUUUAGGUAAAACCAUGAAUUCUCAAUCUCAUAAUGAAUUUCGAGCUAUGGUUUUUGAUGUUGCUGGGCCUUCUUUUGAUGGUAAUAUAGAAGAGGAUCCAAAUCCCACAACACAAAAUAUUUAUAAUUUGCUCAAAGCAUCGGAACGAGAAAUUUGGCCGGGAAAUCCAUAUGGACACACACAACUGUUUGUCAUUGCUCGUCUGUUGAAUCUAAAGGCGGAACAUCAUUUUUUUGAAAGAUUGUAUGAUGAGUUGUGUGAAUUUAUAUCAGAAUUGAUGCCAACUGAUAACAUAAUGAUAGAUAGCUUUUAUAGUACGAAAAAGCUAAUGAGAGGAUUAGGCUUGCCGGUUGAAAAGACUGAUUAUUGCAAAAAUGGUUGUAUGCUUUAUUGGCGGGAGGAUAGUGAACUUGUCAAUUGCAAGUUUUGUUCUCACCCUCGAUUUAAGAGAUCAAAAUAUCAACGCUCCAAGAAGAAAACUAAUAUUUCUUAUAAGAAGAUGUAUUAUUUUCCUUUAGCUUCGCAUUUAUAAAGAUUGUAUACAUCUGAUGCUACAUCAAAACAUAUGAGAUGGCAUCCUGAGCAUGAAAGGGAUGGUGUGAUACGUCAUUCCUCUAACUCUCCUGCUUGGAAACAGUUUGAUCAGUCACACCCUUCUUUUGCAUCUGAAGUGAGAAAUGUUAGAUUGAGUUUGUCAACUGAUGGUUUUCAACCUUUUGGUCAAUUUGGCCAACAAUAUUCUUCUUGGCCUAUGAUAGUUACACCAUAUAAUUUGCCACCUUGGAUAUGCAUGAAGGAUGAAUGUAUGUUUUUGUCUGUGAUUAUUCCUGGUCCUAAAAAUCCAAAACAGAAACUCGAUGUCUUUUUGUAGCCUCUCAUUCAAAAGUUAAACGAAUUAUAUGAGAAGGGAAUUCAAACAUAUGAUGUUUCAAGUAAGAAUAAUUUUCAAAUGAAAGUUGCAUUGAUGUGGAGAAUAAGUGAUUUUCCUGUGUAUUCAAUGUUAUCGGGUUGGAGUACAGCAGGAAAAUUAGCUUGUCCUUAUUGCAUGAAAUAUUCUGAUGCCUUUUCACUAUCCAAUGGUGGAAAGAUCACAUGGUUUGAUAAUCACAGAAAGUUCUUACCACCAAAUCAUCUGUGGCGAAGAAAUAAAAAGUGAUUCAAGAGAGGUCAAACAGUACCAAAGAUUGCAUUUACUGAAUAAUCGGGUGUACAAAUACUUAUGGAGAUUGAGGAUUUGGGACUCAUAAAAGUGACAAAACUUAGUUCUGAUGCGAUAAAUGUCAAAAUUUCAAAGAAUACUGCAUGUGGUUGGAAGAAAAGAAGUAUUUUUUGGGACUCGUCUUACUGGCCAACAAAUCCUGUUAGGCAUAACCUUGAUCCGAUGCAUAUUGAAUUUUUUUUUUGAUAAUAUCUUCAACACUGUGAUGAAUGUCAAGGGGAAAAUAAAGGAUAAUGCAAAAUCUAGAGAAGAUUUAAAACUGCUUUGCCAUUGUCCAGAGUUACAUCAGAAUGAAAGUACCAAAAAGUAUCCAAAGGCUUGUUAUAUGCUAGGUGAUAAGGCUAAAGAAUUCUCUGCAAAUGGUUGCAAUAGUUGAGAUUUCCUGAUGGUUAUGUGUCUAAUCUAGGAAGAUGUGUUGACAUGAUCAAGCUUAAACUUUUUGGUAUGAAGAGUCAUGAUUGUCAUGUAUUUAUGCAACGGUUAAUACCUAUUGCAUUUCGAGAAUUGCUUUCACGAAAUGUGUGGCAACCAUUGACGGAGUUGAGUCUUUUCUUUAAAGAUCUCACCUCUACAACAAUUACGGAAGAACACAUGAGACAAUUAGAAGAAAAUAUUUCUCUUAUCUUGACUAAGCUUAAGCGCAUUUUUCCUCUAAGCUUCUGGGAUUCCAUGGAACAUCUUUUUAUCCAUUUAGCUUAUGAAGCACGUUUAGCGGGCCCGGUUCAAGGACAAUGGAUGUAUCCGAUUGAGAGGAAUCUUCGUAGAUACAAGAAUGUUGUCAAAAAUAAGAAUAAAGUUGAAGCUUCUAUAUGCAAUGCAUAUUUAGUUGAAGAAGCAUCUUUAUUUUGUGCGUAGUACUUUAAGUCACACAUUCCGACACGACACAGAAAAGUACCACAAAAUUUAGAUGAUGGUGGAGUUGAACAGGAUGAUCCUGUGAUGCUUUCUGUUUUUAAGCAAGCUGGUCGAGGUUUUGGUUAGCUGAAAAAAGGAGGUUAGAUGAUAAAGAAUAUCACGCAGCUCGUACAUAUAUUUUGUUGAAUUGUCAUGAAGUAAAACUAUAUAUCAAAAUUUACGAAGAUAUCUUGAGACAAAUACAACCAUGUAUUCAAGAUAGCGAGAUUGACGCUAAACUUGAAACAGAGUUUGCAUCUUGGUUUGAAAAAUAUGUAAGUAUUUAUAGGUCUAAAUUAUUCUUUAAUUAUUUGCUAUUAUUCACAAAAGCAAUCUUAAUCGAUGUCUAACUAUUUAUAAUGUCAAUAGCCACAGAAUCUUCUUCCGGCAUACCAAUCAAAUCAUGAAAGAUCUUGCAGAAGGGCCAUUACAUAUGGUUCAACCCUUUAAUGGAUAUGUCAUAAAUGGUUACAAGUUUCACACUAAAGAAUACGGUUCAAAUAAAUCUACUAUGAAUAGUGGUGUAUGCAUCAAGGGUUUUAGCCAUAAUGCAGAUAAUAUUGAUUACUAUGGUCGAUUGAUACAGAUUUUGCAACUAGAGUAUAAUGCAUUACCAUUCAAGCGAACCAUGUUAUUUAAGUGUUCUUGGUUUGAUCCGAUGCCAAAGCAUGGUACAAGAGUGCAUCCACAGUAUAAUCUUGUUGAUGUUAACAAGAGAGUGUUUAACAAAUAUGAACCAUUUAGUAUGGCUGUGCAAGCAUCUCAAGUGUAUUUUGAAAUUUAUCCUACUGUAAAAAAGACAGUGAGUGAAUGGUUAGCCAUUUUCCCAAUAAAGGCACGCUCUGUUGUAGAUGUUCCCAAAAAAGUAGAGCAACCUUAUACAUUGAAUGAUCCAUCUUUUCAAGAGGAUGAUAG